rnacentral:misc_RNA from 1 species
AACACUGUUAACCUGCGGUACCUGCGGAAGGAUCAUUAUUGAAUAAACUUGGUCAAGCUGUUGCUGGUCCUUCGGGACAUGUGCACGCUUGCCACCAAUUUUAACCACCUGUGCACUUUUUGUAGACUUGGAAACGUUUCUCGAGGCAACUCGGAUUGAGAACUGCUGGCGCAAGUCGGCUCUUCUUAUGUUUUCUCAGUCUAUGUUUUCAUAUACACCUAAUGUAUGUAUCAGAAUGUA